rnacentral:rRNA from 1 species
CGUAACGCGUAUGUAACCUACCUAUAACAGGGGCAUAACACUGAGAAAUUGGUACUAAUUCCCCAUAAUAUUCGGAGAGGCAUCUCUCCGGGUUGAAAACUCCGGUGGUUAUAGAUGGACAUGCGUUGUAUUAGCUAGUUGGUGAGGUAACGGCUCACCAAGGCAACGAUACAUAGGGGGACUGAGAGGUUAACCCCCCCACACUGGUACUGAGACACGGACCAGACUCCUACGGGAGGCAGCAUG